GAUGAACGCUGGCGGCGUGCCUAAUACAUGCAAGUCGAGCGAACAGACGAGGAGCUUGCUCCUCUGAUGUUAGCGGCGGACGGGUGAGUAACACGUGGAUAACCUACCUAUAAGACUGGGAUAACUUCGGGAAACCGGAGCUAAUACCGGAUAACAUAUUGAACCGCAUGGUUCAACAGUGAAAGACGGUUUUGCUGUCACUUAUAGAUGGAUCCGCGCCGCAUUAGCUAGUUGGUAAGGUAACGGCUUACCAAGGCAACGAUGCGUAGCCGACCUGAGAGGGUGAUCGGCCACACUGGAACUGAGACACGGUCCAGACUCCUACGGGAGGCAGCAGUAGGGAAUCUUCCGCAAAGGGCGAAAGCCUGACGGAGCAACGCCGCGUGAGUGAAGAAGGUCUUCGGAUCGUAAAACUCUGUUAUUAGGGAAGAACAAAUGUGUAAGUAACUAUGCACGUCUUGACGGUACCUAAUCAGAAAGCCACGGCUAACUACGUG
rnacentral:rRNA from 1 species